rnacentral:rRNA from 1 species
GAGUUUGAUUAUGGCUCAGGACGAACGCUGGCGGCGUGCCUAAUACGUGCAAGUCGAGCGGAGUUGAAUAAGUGCUUGCACUAAUUCAACUUAGCGGCGAACGGGUGAGUAACACGUAAAGAACCUGCCUCAUAGACUGGGACAACUACUGGAAACGGUAGCUAAUACCGGAUAACAUAUUUUUCUGCAUGGAAGAAUAUUGAAAGUCGGUCAUGCUGACACUAUGAGAUGGCUUUGCGGUGCAUUAGCUAGUUGGUAGGGUAAAGGCCUACCAAGGCGACGAUGCAUAGCCGACCUGAGAGGGUGAUCGGCCACACUGGGACUGAGACACGGCCCAGACUCCUACGGGAGGCAGCAGUAGGGAAUCUUCCGCAAUGGACGAAAGUCUGACGGAGCAACGCCGCGUGAGUGAAGAAGGAUUUCGGUUCGUAAAACUCUGUUGUUAGGGAAGAAUGAUUGUAUAGUAACUAUAUACAGUAGAGACG